rnacentral:rRNA from 1 species
AGCGAACGCUGGCGGCAGGCCUAACACAUGCAAGUCGAACGAACCCUUCGGAGUUAGUGGCGGACGGGUGAGUAACACGUGGGAACGUGCCUUUAGGUUCGGAAUAACUCAGGGAAACUUGUGCUAAUACCGAAUGUGCCCUUCGGGGGAAAGAUUUAUCGCCUUUAGAGCGGCCCGCGUCUGAUUAGCUAGUUGGUGAGGUAAAGGCUCACCAAGGCGACGAUCAGUAGCUGGUCUGAGAGGAUGAUCAGCCACAUUGGGACUGAGACACGGCCCAAACUCCUACGGGAGGCAGCAGUGGGGAAUCUUGCGCAAUGGGCGAAAGCCUGACGCAGCCAUGCCGCGUGAAUGAUGAAGGUCUUAGGAUUGUAAAAUUCUUUCACCGGGGACGAUAAUGACGGUACCCGGAGAAGAAGCCCCGGCUAACUUCGUG